rnacentral:misc_RNA from 1 species
GGCAGUUCUAAAAUAUUCAAUCAGAGCAGAGGAGAAAAACUAGGUUAUGACUGCAAAUCUAGGUUUCAGCGUGCUUAAGUGCAUAUAAUUAGCGGCGAUCAGUAGAUAGAUACCUUAUGAUCCAAUGAACUUGUUCAUGCUAAUGUUCAGACAUCUCUGCUCUUCAAUCAUACAUCAUCUUCAUCCCAUUCAUCUCUUCGCA